UGAGUCCUGGAGGAGACGAGGUACUGUGGACUGGAGUCCUGGAGGAGACGAGGUACUGUGGACUGGAGUCCUGGAGGAGACGAGGUACUGUGGACUGGAGUCCUGGAGGAGACGAGGUACUGUGGACUGGAGUCCUGGAGGAGACGAGGUACUGUGGACUGGAGUCCUGGAGGAGACGAGGUACUGUGGACUGGAGUCCUGGAGGAGACGAGGUACUGUGGACUGGAGUCCUGGAGGAGACGAGGUACUGUGGACUGGAGUCCUGGAGGAGACGAGGUACUGUGGACUGGAGUCCUGGAGGAGACGAGGUACUGUGGACUGGAGUCCUGGAGGAGACGAGGUACUGUGGACUGGAGUCCUGGAGGAGACGAGGUACUGUGGACUGGAGUCCUGGAGGAGACGAGGUAUUGUGGACUGGAGUCCUGGAGGAGACGAGGUACUGUGGACUGGAGUCCUGGAGGAGACGAGGUACUGUGGACUGGAGUCCUGGAGGAGACGAGGUACUGUGGACUGGAGUCCUGGAGGAGACGAGGUACUGUGGACUGGAGUCCUGGAGGAGACGAGGUACUGUGGACUGGAGUCCUGGAGGAGACGAGGUACUGUGGACUGGAGUCCUGGAGGAGACGAGGUACUGUGGACUGGAGCCCUGGAGGAGACGAGGUACUGUGGACUGGAGUCCUGGAGGAGACGACUGUGUGGAGCUAAAGAAUAGAGCUGCUACUCCAGACAGACAGUGAGAAAGUGAACCAGGUAGGAAAUAGAGUGAGAACGAGCGCACACACAGAGGGGAGGAGUGAGGCAGAUGAGGUAAAAACCUAUUCAAACAGGAAAUUCCACUCACACCAGGG